rnacentral:rRNA from 1 species
UGAGUAGCGAUAAUUAAUGUGAGAAUCAUUAACGCCGUAAACCCAAGGUUUCCUACGCGAUGCUCGUCAUCGUAGGGUUAGUCGGGUCCUAAGUCGAGUCCGAAAGGGGUAGACGAUGGCAAAUUGGUUAAUAUUCCAAUACCAACAUUAGUGUGCGAUGGAAGGACGCUUAGGGCUAAGGGGGCUAGCGGAUGGAAGUGCUAGUCUAAGGUCGUAGGAGGUUAUACAGGCAAAUCCGUAUAACAAUACUCCGAGAACUGAAAGGCUUUUUGAAGUCUUCGGAUGGAUAGAAGAACCCCUGAUGCCGUCGAGCCAAGAAAAGUUUCUAAGUUUAGCUAAUGUUGCCCGUACCGUAAACCGACACAGGUGGGUGGGAUGAGUAUUCUAAGGCGCGUGGAAGAACUCUCUUUAAGGAACUCUGCAAAAUAGCACCGUAUCUUCGGUAUAAGGUGUGGUUAGCUUCGUACUAGGAUUUACUCCGAAAGCGAAGAAACUUACAACAAAGAGUCCCUCCCGACUGUUUACCAAAAACACAGCACUCUGCUAACUCGUAAGAGGAUGUAUAGGGUGUGACGCCUGCCCGGUGCUCGAAGGUUAAUUGAUGGGGUUAGCAUUAGCGAAGCUCUUGAUCGAAGCCCGAGUAAACGGCGGCCGUAACUAUAACGGUCCUAAGGUAGCGAAAUUCCUUGUCGGUUAAAUACCGACCUGCAUGAAUGGCGUAACGAGAUGGGAGCUGUCUCAAAGAGGGAUCCAGUGAAAUUGUAGUGGAGG